UACGGGGGGGGCAAGCGUUGUUCGGAAUUACUGGGCGUAAAGGGCGCGUAGGCGGUCUGCUAAGUUGGAUGUGAAAACUCUGGGCUUAACCCAGAGCCUGCAUUCAAAACUGACAGGCUAGAGUUCUGGAGGGGGAAGCGGAAUUCCUGGUGUAGCGGUGAAAUGCGUAGAUAUCAGGAGGAACACCGGUGGCGAGGGCGGCUUCCUGGACAGAAACUGACGCUGAGGCGCGAAAGCAUGGGGAGCGAACAGG
rnacentral:rRNA from 1 species